CAGCCACCACUGGCCAUGACCUUUCAGUUCCCAGCACAGGUCCUGGGGCCCACAUGCAUUCUCUUCCUGCUGAAUGUCACAGAGCGCCCUGUGCUCUUUUUACCUGAGCUGAUGUGGCCUCUCUGUCCUGCCAUUUCUCCUUGGAACCAAUGGACCAUGGACUGAAUCCUCUGAAAACGUCUCUCUGCCUCUCUGAUUCCUGGAUGCCAUCAGGUGAGCAGCCUCUUCACCCUGCCUUUCCACCAUGUUUCUGCUUCUCCACAAG